rnacentral:lncRNA from 1 species
CAACAACUCAAGUCUUUUAGCCACAUUGAUGGAAAAAUCCAGAUGGUCCUCACUAGCUAGUUUCAAUCUCUAUUAAGAGUUCUACAUCUGUUAUCACACUUCCAUGUUUUGAGCUUAUUCGUCUAGAGCAUGGACCAUUAACCAUGUGAUCGAUCACAUGGCCAAGGCCUAAUAUUUUGUUUCUUUCGGGUUUCAUUCUUUGCUCAUUACAUUUAAUUAAUCCAUAGAGCCGGAGCAAACUAUUCCUACCCUUCAACGUGAGCUAAAAUACGAGCAACUUCAAGUUAAAGUACAUACCUCACUAAUAUACAGAUUACGUGUAACAAUAAAAUGUUUUGUGUACAUGAGAAAAUAGUCGAUCAUAAUAUACUCAAAUGAUGUCUUUUCAUUACAUGAAUAACUGAAUCAAUUGCCAAGAGCCCAUAUGAGAUUGCGCUCGCCCUCGUCCCUUCCGCAAAGCAAAGGUGGGAUAAAAGUGUAACUCCUUUUGUGUCAUGGGUUACCUUCUAUCUUCCUCUCCCGUGACUCUCCCAAAGCGAUCGGACAUGGGGAGGGAGCAGGGGAAGUAUGUCGUUCGUAAUGGAAAGAAAGAUACAGUACUUCGCCUCUUUGUUGGACUGUCGAGUGACAACUGAAGAAAAUGAAAGGGCAGCGGAAGAUGAAGCGAUUGGGGAAUCUUCAUCACCAGAUGGACCAGUAUCACUCCCACACAUGUAGUGUUCGUGAUCUGCCUUUUCGACUAUGAAUUGAUCGAAAGGUACGGCAGCACAGCCCCCAACCAAG